CUCAGGAUCCUGGCCCCAGAGCUGAGCUGCGUUUCAAAGGAAUGGUGUCCAGGAGCCCAGACCUCUUUUGCUCCCACUACCUUCCCUUUAUUGCAAACCCUCCUCUGUAUGCUAGCUCCCCGCUCCCCGCCUCAGAGCGGUUGGUUUCUCAGGGCUACCUGAGUUGCUGUCUCUGGGCUUAAGUCUUAAUUUUGCCCCCAAUAAAACUUAAACUCUCAAGUUGUGCAUUUUUUGUUGUUGUUGACAGGGCGACUGUGAAACCAGGGACCCUGAGGAGACUUCUCUCCUUCACCUGAACUCUACGAGGAGAUGGAGCCUGGGUGCCAGGAGAGACCCCUGUGCCCGUCCCUCUCCUCCGGGAGCCAAGACGAAUGUGGGAUGUCUCUGAACGUCCUCCGGGAGGAGCCCCAUCUCAGAGCUGCUCCUCAGGGCCCGAGCCGAAGGACCGGGAUGCGGGGCUGGAGAGACAGGCCAUCCACGAACAGACAAAGGGGGGGCACCAAGCUCCACGAGAGGCAGGCCUGCGGCCCCAGGGAGACAACGGUGCCCUGGGACCAGGUGCCAAUGGAACGUGAGUGAUGCCAGCAGCUGCCAGGGGCCACUUUACAAAGGACGAGGGGAGCUGGGGCCAUAGGGCUGGAUGGUUGUUCCCAACACUGGGUAAUUUAAAGCAAGGAAAUGAUAGGCUCGAAUCAAAAUGUUCGCCUCAAGGCACAGAAUAAAAUUCAAGGCCAUUAUAUGAAAGAAUCUUUUAUUGCAUAUAGCCACAGAGUUGAAAUUGCCGAAGACUGAACGUGGAGAUUGAUUCCGUGUCACAACUUCCCUUGGUCUGUCUUGAAAAUUCAGGAGACGUUAGUACGCCAUUGGC
rnacentral:lncRNA from 1 species